GACAGAGGUCCCGAGCGUUAGGCGGAAUCACUGGGCUUAAAGCGUGUGUAGGCGGAUUUGUAAGUACCUUGUGAAAUCCCACGGCUUAACCUGGAACUGCUGGGUAUCUGCAAUCUUGGGCCCAUCUAGGGGCUAGCGGAACAAAACGGUGGAGCGGUGAAAAUGCGUAGAUAUCGUUUUGGAACGCCAAUGUGAAAAACAGCUAGCUGGGGGAUGUGCCGACUGAGACACGAAAAGCCAGGGGGGAGCGAAACGGGGG
rnacentral:rRNA from 1 species